GGCCUGAAGCCACGACAAAAUCUUCACACUGAAAUUGGAUGGGCGAACCCUUCUCCAUGACAACACCGAGUCGGGCUCUGGGGUGGCCACUGCGCACAAAAAAUGCGUAACCUCCACAGAGCCCCGGCUCACUUUUUCAAGAAUAAACAUCAUGCGCCAGGAAAGAUUUAUCGCUUUCGGAGAAUCCUGCGUCCUAUCAGCUAGUUGGUGAGGUAAAAGCUCACCAAGGCUACGACGGGUAGGGGGUGUGAGAGCAUGACCCCCAACAUUGGCACUGCGACACUGGCCAAACACCUACGGGUGGCUGCAGUCGAGAAUCUUCGGCAAUGCACGAAAGUGUGACCGAGCGACGCUGCGUGCAGGAAGAAGGCCUUCGGGUUGUAAACUGCUGUUCUUGGGGAAGAACUUUGACGGUACCCAAGCAGAAAGGGGCGCCUAAUCUCGUGCCAGCAGGCGCGGUAAUACGAGAGCCCCGAGCGUUGUCCGAAAUAACUGGGCGUAAAGCAUCCGCAGAUGGAAUAGUGCGUCUACUGUUAAAUCCUACGGCUCAACCGUGGUGACUGCAGUGGAUACGGCUAUUCUAGAGGCACGGAGAGGUGAGUGGAACUCCUGGUGGAGUGGUAAAAUGCGUUGAUAUCAGGGGGAACACCAAUUGCGAAGGCAGCUCACUGGUCGUGUCCUGACAUUCACAGGAUGAAAGCGUGGGGAGCGAAGGGGAUUAGAUACCCCCGUAGUCCACGCCGUAAACGAUGCAUACUAGGUAUUGGGAGUAUCGACCCUCUCAGUGCCGUUUAAAAAAGCUAACGCGUUAAGUAUGACGCCUGGGGAGUACGGUCGCAAGAUUAAAACUCAAAGGAAUAGACGGGGACCCGCACAAGCGGUGGAUCAUGCGGUUUAAUUCGAUGAUAAGCGGAGCACCUCACCUAGGUUUGACAUCCUCCAAAUUGACUAGAAAUAGUUAAGUGCCGCAAGGAAUGGAGUGACAGGUGAUGCACGGUCGUCGUCAGCUCGUGCUUUGAAGUGUACUGUUAAGUCAGCAAACGAGCGCAACCCUCAUCCUAUGUUGUUUUUUCAUAGGAGACUGCCGCCUCCAAGGCGGAGGAAGGUGAGGAUGACGUCAGAUCUGCGUGUCCCUUACGUCUGGGGCAACACCCGUGCUACAAUGGCCGGUACAAAGGGCAGCGAACCCGCGAGGGAGAGCCAAUCCCAAAAAACCGGUCUCAGUUCGGAUUGAAGUCUGCAACUCGACUUCAUGAAGUUGGAAUCGCUAGUAAACGUGAAUCAGCUACGUCACGUUGAAUAUGUUCCUGGGUCUUGUACUCACCGCCCGUCAACUCAUGAAAGGCAGGGGCGCCCGAAGCACCUUUAUUCUUCGGAAGAGGUACCACGGUGAAACUGCUGAUUGGGAGUAAGUCGUAACAAGGUAUCCGUA
rnacentral:rRNA from 1 species